UUCUGAGGAAAACCUAGAUCCGGACCCCUCGCCGCCGGCCAUGGCCACGCGCCGGGCCCUCUCAUCUAUCCUCCGCUCCGCCUCUCGCCUCCGCUCCGCCUCACCGUCCCCGUGCCCGCGCGCGCCGCUCCACCACCGCCCGUCCCCCGCGGGCUUCAUACUCAACCGCGCAGCCGCCUACGCAUCCUCCGCCGCGGCCCAGGCCGCGCCCGCUCCGCCGCCUCCUUCCACCG
rnacentral:lncRNA from 1 species